rnacentral:rRNA from 1 species
AUUGAACGCUGGCGGCAGGCUUAACACAUUCAAUUCGAACGAGUUGCGGACGGGUGAGUAAUUCUUGUGACUCUAGCUUAUUUAGGGGGAUAACUACUGGAAACUGUAGCUAAUACCUCGUACCAUAGGAUGAUCCCCACUGUGAUUAGGUAGUUUGUGAGGUAAAGGCUCACCAAUCCGACGAUCUCUAGCUGGUCUGAGAGGAUGACCAGCUACCUUGGGACUGAGAAACGGCCCAGACUCCGACGGGAUGCAGCAGUGGGGGAUAUUGAGGAAUGGGGGCAACCGGACGCAGCCAUGCCGCGUGAAUGAAGAAGGCCUGAGGGUUGUAAAGUUCUGUCGGUAGCGAGGCGUUAACUACAGAAGAAGAACCGGCUAACUCCGUGCAAGCAGCCGCGGUAAUUC